GGGCCUGUAGCUCAGUCGGUUAGAGCAGUGGACUCAUAAUCCAUUGGUCCUCGGUUCGAGUCCGAGCGGGCCUACCA
rnacentral:tRNA from 1 species